UUCCCAUAUCUGUGGCCCUUAAAAUCCUACGGUUGAGUGCCUGCCUUGGAUCAGCAGUCAGUUCGUUACCUUGGUUCUCAGACGAUGCUUGCAACAACACCAUGCGAUUCGCUCACUCUUGGGUAGAUGGAGACAUUGGGGCUCAGGUGUGGGCAGUUUUAAGAAGAAUACAUUGAUUCUACAACAUGCUAUUGUGAAGCCAUCCAGGACUGUUCACUCACUUAUUUAAGAAAGAGAAAAUAAGAGAAGUAUCCCUGAAGGAUGAAAUAUCCUCAAAUAUGAAAAUGUCUGCUCUCUGAAGACCAACUGUCUUAGUCUGCUUUUUGCUGCUGUAACAGAAUACCACAGACUUGACAUCUAGGCUUGCUGUCAAGGCUUCUGAUCAACAUGAGAUGACUGCCGUGUGGUAAACUGAUGAACCCCGACCCCGAUGAACAUGAGAUGACUGCCGUGUGGUAAACUGAUGAACCCCGACCCUGAUCAACAUGAGAUGACUGCUGUGUAGUAAACUGAUGAACCCCGACCCUGAUCAACAUGAGAUGACCGCCGUGUGGUAAACUGAUGAACCCUGACCCUGAUCAACAUGAGAUGGCCGCUGUGUGGUAAACUGAUGAACCCCGACCCUGAUGAACAUCAGAUGACCGCCGUGUGGUAAACUGAUGAACCCCGACCCUGAUGAACAUGAGAUGACCUCUGUGUGGUAAACUGAUGAACCCUGACCCUGAUCAACAUGAGAUGGCCGCUGUGUGGUAAACUGAUGAACCCCGACCCUGAUGAACAUCAGAUGACCGCCGUGUGGUAAACUGAUGAACCCCGACCCUGAUGAACAUGAGAUGACCGCUGUGUGGUAAACUGAUGAACCCUGACCCUGAUCAACAUGAGAUGGCCGCUGUGUGGUAAACUGAUGAACCCCGACCCUGAUGAACAUCAGAUGACCGCUGUGUAGUAAACUGAUGAACCCUGACCCUGAUCAACAUGAGAUGGCCGCUGUGUGGUAAACUGAUGAACCCCGACCCUGAUGAACAUGAGAUGACCGCCGUGUGGUAAACUGAUGAACCCCGACCCUGAUGAACAUCAGAUGACCGCCGUGUGGUAAACUGAUGAACCCCGACCCUGAUGAACAUCAGAUGACCGCCGUGUGGUAAACUGAUGAACCCCGACCCUGAUCAACAUGAGAUGACCGCUGUGUGGUAAACUGAUGAACCCUGACCCUGAUCAACAUGAGAUGGCCGCUGUGUGGUAAACUGAUGAACCCUGACCCUGAUGAACAUCAGAUGACUGCCGUGUGGUAAACUGAUGAACCCCGACCCUGAUCAACAUGAGAUGGCCGCUGUGUAGUAAACUGAUGAACCCCGACCCUGAUGAACAUCAGAUGACCGCCGUGUGGUAAACUGAUGAACCCCGACCCUGAUGAACAUCAGAUGACCGCCGUGUGGUAAACUGAUGAACCCCGACCCUGAUCAACAUGAGAUGACCGCUGUGUAGUAAACUGAUGAACCCUGACCCAUUAGGCUUUGGCUACAGAAUGUGGAAAUAAGUUGUGUUACUACAUGUGUGUAAUCCUAGGGUGCAGGACACCGGCCGGGAGGUUCCGUAGAGUGAUGGGUUGUGCAGGUAACUCAUCCUCUAGUCCUCUGUAAGCUCCUAGAAGGAAGAAAUUAUGUUCUUUAGACUAAUAAAAUUCCUCCAAACCAAAUACAGCACCUACUGUGAAGACACAAAGAUACUUUUAGAAUAGUAAAAACUUUAUCCAUUGAGAAAUUCCUUAAUGAAACUGUAUCCAAGAAGUCAUUUGCCAGCAGAUUUCUUAGAGGUGCGAUAAAGAAGAGGACACUGCCAGUCGUCACAGCAGCUGCAAUAGCUCCUCUCUAUUGUUAAACACUGGGAUAUCUUGUACAGGUUUUCAGGUGACAAUCAAUUUUAAAAAUUAGUUUCAGUCCCCAUCAAUCAUUUAUUAACCCAUCAAUAAAAAUUUAAAUGCUCUGUAAGGUACAAUAGCUAUUAAAAGAGACGGAGGCACUUUCUGUGUCCAGAGGGGCUUUUAGUCUGCUCUGGAAAGCAAGAUGUGUGCAGAUGAGUGACACAGUGCAUCGUGUGGAUGCAAAGGGAGGGACUCACAUGGGAACCAGAGGAGCUGCGAAGGGAGGCAGCGGGGACUGGUGGUUCGAGACCUGGAAAUAACACAUGAAUAGGCAACAAAGGUUUCCGUUCCUCUUCCAUGCACUUCAGUCCUUGAAAAACGUCUUACCACGGAAUUCCACAGCGUACCAAGCGAUUCCACAGCUUGAUGGCACACUCUCCUUUCUCAGCAUUCUUGAAAAUGGCGUGUGAGCCAAGCCAUCUUACUGAGAAAUUACCUUAAACCAUUUGAUGAACCAAAAAUAUUUUGUAAUACCCAUCUCCAACAUUAGGUAGGCAAAUCACACAGAAACACCGAGGUCUUCUGAGUCAUAUUUAUC